UUACGGCGACAUCACGUUGAAACGCCUCUUCUCGUACGAUCACCGAAGUUAAGCAACGUCGAGCCUGGUCAGUGCCUAAAUGAGUUACCACUUGAGAAUCCCAGGUGCUGAAA